UACGUAGGGUGCGAGCGUUUAAUCGGAAUUACUGGGCGUAAAGCGUGCGCAGGCGGUUCGCUGUGUCCUGUGUGAAAGCCCCGGGCUUAACCUGGGAAUGGCAUGGGAAACUGGCGGGCUGGAGUGUGGCAGAGGGGGGUGGAAUUCCGCGUGUAGCAGUGAAAUGCGUAGAGAUGCGGAGGAACACCGAUGGCGAAGGCAGCCCCCUGGGCUAACACUGACGCUCAGGCACGAAAGCGUGGGGAGCAAACAGG
rnacentral:rRNA from 1 species